rnacentral:rRNA from 1 species
GUGAGGAAUAUUGCGCAAUGGAGGCAACUCUGACGCAGCCAUGCCGCGUGCAGGAAGAAGGUGCUACGCGUUGUAAACUGCUUUUAACCGGGAAGAAACCCCAGGACGUGUCCUGGGUUGACGGUACCGGAGGAAUAAGCACCGGCUAACUUCGUGCCAGCAGCCGCGGUAAUACGAAGGGUGCAAGCGUGAUCCGGAAUCAUUGGGUUUAAAGGGUGCGUAGGCGGAGCGUUAAGUCAGUGGUGAAAUCCUGCAGCUUAACUGUAGACUUGCCAUUGAUACUGGCGGUCUUGAGUGCUCUUGAAGGGGGCGGAAUGUGCCGUGUAGCGGUGAAAUGCUUAGAUAUGGCACAGAACACCAAUUGCGAAGGCAGCUCACUAAGGCGAUACUGACGCUGAGGCACGAAAGCGUGGGGAUCGAACAGGAUUAGAUACCCGAGUAGUCC